AGUAGCCGCGGUAAUACGUAGGUGGCAAGCGUUGUCCGGAAUUAUUGGGCGUAAAGCGCGCGCAGGCGGCCUAUCCAGUCUGUCUUAAAAGUUCGGGGCUCAACCCCGUGAUGGGAUGGAAACUAGUAGGCUAGAGUAUCGGAGAGGAAAGCGGAAUUCCUAGUGUAGCGGUGAAAUGCGUAGAUAUUAGGAAGAACACCAGUGGCGAAGGCGGCUUUCUGGACGAAAACUGACGCUGAGGCGCGAAAGCCAAGGGAGCGAACGGGAUUAGAUACCCCUGUAGUCCCUGUCUCUUAUACAC
rnacentral:rRNA from 1 species